rnacentral:rRNA from 1 species
UACGAAGGGGGCUAGCGUUGCUCGGAAUCACUGGGCGUAAAGCGCACGUAGGCGGAUUGUUAAGUCAGGGGUGAAAUCCUGGAGCUCAACUCCAGAACUGCCUUUGAUACUGGCGAUCUUGAGUCCGGGAGAGGUGAGUGGAACUGCGAGUGUAGAGGUGAAAUUCGUAGAUAUUCGGAGGAACACCAGUGGCGAAGGCGGCUCACUGGUCCGGUACUGACGCUGAGGUGCGAAAGCGUGGGGAGCAAACAGG